CCAGGUGUCCCACUCAGGUGUGUCACACACUCAGGUGUGUCCCAGGUGUCCCCUCCGUGUCCCACCUGGCGCCACCGGCUCCGGCCGCACCUGCAGAGACACCCAGGGGGGAUUUUAGGGAAUUUUAGGGAAUUUUCCCUUUUCCCCAAGAUUUUUCCCCAAAAUUUUUUUAGGAUUUUCCCCCAAAAUUUUUUUACAAUUUUCCCCCAAAAUUUUUUUACAAUUUUCCCCCAAAUUUUUUUAAGAUUUUCCCCAAAAUUUUUAAGAUUUUCCCCCAAAUUUUUUAAGAUUUUCCCCCAAAUUUUUUAAGAUUUUCCCCAAAAUUCUUUAAGAUUUUCCCCCAAAUUUUUAAGAUUUUUUUCCCCCAAUUUUUAUAAGAUUCUUUUUCCCCAUUUUUCUAAAAUUUUCCUCCAAAUCUUUUUACAAUUUUCCCCUAUUUUUUUAAAUAUUUUACCCCAAAUUUUAAGAUUUUCCACCCAUUUUUUUAGGAUUUCCCCCCAUUUUUUAGGAUUUUUUCAGCAUUUUUCCCUCCCGUUUUUUAGGAUUUCCCAAAUCCCCUUCCCAGUUUUUUUUUUUUUA
rnacentral:lncRNA from 1 species